rnacentral:rRNA from 1 species
GUGCCAGCCGCCGCGGUAAUACCGGCAGCCCGAGUGAUGGCCGCUGUUAUUGGGCCUAAAGCGUCCGUAGCUGGCCGUACAAGUCCGUCGGGAAAUCCGCCCGCUCAACGGGCGGCCGUCCGGCGGAACCUGUGUGGCUUGGGACCGGGAGGCGUGAGGGGUACGAUCGGGGUAGGAGUGAAAUCCUGUAAUCCCGCACGGACCGCCGAUGGGGAAAGCACCUCAGGAAAACGGAUCCGACAGUGAGGGACGAAAGCCAGGGUCUCGAACCGGAUUAGAUACCCUAGUAGUCC